UAUGAUAGAAGUAUAUGGUGAUGAAGGA
rnacentral:piRNA from 1 species